rnacentral:rRNA from 1 species
AAUCAACGCUGGCGGCGCGCCUAACACAUGCAAGUCGAACGAGAAAGCAGGAGCAAUCCUGUGAGUAAAGUGGCGUACGGGUGAGUAACACGUGGAUCAUCUACCCUUUUGUGGGGAGUAACCCGGAACCGGGGACGUAUACCGCAUAAGUACCGAGAGGAGAAAGACAGCUUUGUUGAAAGACAAGGCGGCGCAGAAGGAGGAGUCCGCGGCCGA